rnacentral:rRNA from 1 species
UCCAAGGCUAAAUACUCUCUAAUGACCGAUAGUGAACAAGUACCGUGAGGGAAAGGCGAAAAGAACCCCGGGAGGGGAGUGAAAUAGAACCUGAAAUCGUAUGCAUACAAGCAGUAGGAGCGGAUUUAUUCCGUGACUGCGUACCUUUUGUAUAAUGGGUCAGCGACUUACUUCUCAGUAGCAAGGUUAACCAAUAGGGGAGCCGUAGGGAAACCGAGUCUUAAAUGGGCGUUUAGUUGCUGGGAGUAGACCCGAAACCGGGUGAUCUAUCCAUGGCCAGUGUGAAGGUUAGGUAAAACUAACUGGAGGCGCGAACCCACUUAUGUUGAAAAAUGAGGGGAUGAGCUGUGGAUAGGGGUGAAAGGCCAAACAAACCCGGAGAUAGCUGGUUCUCUCCGAAAUCUAUUUAGGUAGAGCCUCAUGUAUUACUGUCGGGGGUAGAGCGCUGUUAUGGCUAGCGGGUCGUCAAGGCUUAGCAAACCAUUGCAAACUCCGAAUACCGACAAGUAUGAGCAUGGGAGACACACUGCGGGUGCUAACGUCCGUAGUGGAAAGGGAAACAACCCAGACCGUCAGCUAAGGUCCCAAAAUUGUAGUUAAGUGGGAAACGAUGUGAAAAGGCCCAGACAGCCAGGAGGUUGGCUUAGAAGCAGCCAUUCCUUUAAAGAGUGCGUAAUAGCUCACUGGUCGAGUCGGUUUGCGCGGAAGAUUUAACGGGGCUAAAACUACAUACCGAAGCUACGGAUCGCAAUUUAUUGCGAUGGUAGGAGAGCGUUCUGUAAGCCGUUGAAGGUGAACUAUGAGGUUUGCUGGAGGUAUCAGAAGUGCGAAUGCUGACAUGAGUAACGAUAAAGGGGGUGAAAAACCCCCUCGCCAGAAGUCCAAGGUUUCCUACGCAACGUUAAUCGGCGUAGGGUUAGUCGGCCCCUAAGGCGAGGCAGAAAUGCGUAGUCGAUGGGAAAUGGGUUAAUAUUCCCAUACUUCAUAUAACUGCGAUGGGAAGACGGAGAAGGUUAACGUAGCUUGGCGAUGGUUGUCCAGGUUCAAGCGUGUAGAGUAGGUUCUUAGGAAAAUCCGGGAACCUUAGAUUUAGUUCUAAAGCUCAAGGCGUGAUAACGAUCCCUCUUUUGGGAGAAGUGCGUGAUACCAUGCUUCCAGGAAAAUCCUCUAAGCUUCAGGUUAUAUGAAACCGUACCCCAAACCGACACAGGUGGACGAGAUGAGAAUUCUAAGGCGCUUGAGAGAACUCGGGUGAAGGAACUAGGCAAAAUGACACCGUAACUUCGGGAGAAGGUGUGCUCUUGCCGGUGAUUUUACUUGCUAAAUGAGCUGGUAAGAGUUGAAGAUACCAGGUGGCUCCGACUGUUUAUUAAAAACACAGCACUCUGCAAACACGUAAGUGGACGUAUAGGGUGUGACGCCUGCCCGGUGCUUGAAGGUUAAUUGAUGAGGUUAGGAUUCGUCCGAAGCUUUUGAUCGAAGCCCAAGUAAACGGCGGCCGUAACUAUAACGGUCCUAAGGUAGCGAAAUUCCUUGUCGGGUAAGUUCCGACCUGCACGAAUGGCGUAACGAGGGCCACACUGUCUCCACCCGAGACUCAGUGAAAUUGAAAUUGCUGUUAAGAUGCAGUAUACCCGCGGCCAGACGGAAAGACCCCGUGCACCUUUACUACAGCUUUGCAUUGAACUCUGAUCCUACCUGUGUAGGAUAGGUGGGAGGCUUUGAAGCUUGGACGCUAGUUCGAGUGGAGCCACCCUUGAAAUACCACCCUGGUAUGGUUGGGGUUCUAACCUAGGUCCAUUAUCUGGAUCGGGGACAAUGCAUGGUGGG